AGGGUCUCUUCCGAACUCCUCUGUAUUUGGGCUCAGUCGCCGGAGAUGGUGCUGGUGCUUCCGUGGGCCGACCUCUUGCCAUGAUUACAAGGUAGGAAAAAGUGAGAUCGGGGAUGGAUUUGUGGAAAUGGAGUGGCGAUGGGGGAGGGAGGAAAUUGGUGAGAGUUGAAAGGAGAAAUAAAUAAUGGAGAAUGGAGAAACACGGUUUUGGGUGAUGGAGACUGCGAUGGGCGGCAGCAACACAAACAGGAAGAGGAAGAAGAAGAAGAAGAAGAAGAAGAAGA
rnacentral:lncRNA from 1 species